CAGCAGCCGCCGCGGUAAUACAGAGGGUGCGAGCGUUAAUCGGAUUUACUGGGCGUAAAGCGUGCGUAGGCGGCUUCUUAAGUCGGAUGUGAAAUCCCUGAGCUUAACUUAGGAAUUGCAUUCGAUACUGGGAAGCUAGAGUAUGGGAGAGGAUGGUAGAAUUCCAGGUGUAGCGGUGAAAUGCGUAGAGAUCUGGAGGAAUACCGAUGGCGAAGGCAGCCAUCUGGCCUAAUACUGACGCUGAGGUACGAAAGCAUGGGGAGCAAACAGGAUUAGAUACCCGCGUAGUCCCUGUCUCUUAUAA
rnacentral:rRNA from 1 species